GCUCGGCGAGCCAACCAACCUCAACACCCACAACCCGAGCUACAAAUCUACUCCGCAACACGCUCAAACUGGCAAGGAAAUGGGAAAACUACGCCAACUCAUCUAACUGACUUUCCAUGCAACAUCUGUCCACUUGCAGCAGUCUGGAGAUUGCACACUGGACUUACCAAUCUUCUCAGAACCCAUCAAGCCACAGUGAAAACAAGUCAACCCUGAGUCAGAGGAGCUACUUAAGACAUACUGAUAUCAGGAGAAUGAGAACCCUGGCUGACUCCAUACUCCUCCCUAACCCAAGGGACUUCAACCAUAGAGCCUCUGGUACACUUCAAAGCUAAGAUCAGCGAACGGUACAGACUGGAAAUGAAACCUGGAAUCUCAUUAGCUUGUACAACUCAGAUGUUCUUUGUUGUUCCACUAGUAUCUGAAAAGUCACCUGCUUCUCCAUAGAGAAUAUCCCGAUUAGCCUCGAGGCAGAACUAAAGUACUGUGUACAAGACAACAAAUCCCAAUUGACAUUGCAUGAAGAAGGUCAGGCUGAUACGGUACAUUAACUUCAGACUAUUUAAACUAAAGGUCAUCUUUCACGAUUAGACACAAGAGUUGUUGAAAAUUUAAAAGCAUUAAAACGGAUCCCAUUGGGAGAAUUUUACAGACAAUUCCACAUAAUUGAUUUGUGCACACGCUCCCAGUGCUCCAUUUACCAGUCACCAGGUUAUCCAAAAUCUCCUACUUCCUACUUAUUUUCAAAGAAGUCUUGCCUAUAUUGUUUGGGAUGAAAAGCUAUGGUCAGAAACAAACUCUAAUAAGACAGGUUCAACCUGGUUGAGAACAAGGGAAUUCUUGAACAGAUUAGACUGUGCACCAUUUGCAGCCACUUGGCAACUUUGCAACAGGUAAUUAUUGACCUUGGCCCUAGACAAAGUGGGAUGCAGAGUUCCAGAUAUUGUCACCAUCCAGAAGAGUC